GAGGGUUUAGCUCAAAUGGUAGAGCGCAUGCUUAGCAUGCAUGAGAUGAGGUCCUGGGUUCAAUCCCCAGUAUCUCCU
rnacentral:tRNA from 1 species